GACGCGUAUGUAACCGAGUCGAAUACUUGACCGAUAUUCACUAAUUGUAUUAAACCGAACCGAUAACCAAGAUGGUACAGCUGAGGAUAUUUAGCUACUUGGGUUUUGAAUAUUGUGUCACUAUUAUAUAAAUAGAAGUGUAGUCAAUUAUUGUUGCGUUCAUCUUGCUCUGAUUAAUUUUCAAUAUCAUUCAUCACCAACUCAAUUGCUGGAAAGUGGACAGACUUACUUAACCGGGUCAACUAACCUAAAUUAAACCAGACUUGGCCAAAAAUUGAUUUAGCAAAGUUCCAAACAAUGCUUAAUCUUUAUAGACAAGUGAACUGAUUUGAAAACUUCAAAUGUGUUGAAUUUUUACCAUACGAAUGAACCGAGGCGAAUAAUUGAUCGAAGCUAAUUAGUAAAUACAUUCUCUAAUUGCUUUAAACCGGACCAUAACCGAGCCACUACGUUAAACCGGACACAAAUAAGUUAAUUAGGGUUUGCGGUUUAUGUGUAUUUUCACCGUGACGAGUGAAUACAGUAAGAUUGAUUUACACCAGUGCUUCGAAUCACAUGGUGAAGUAUUUCACGACUUUAGACAGAACAUACAGGGGUCGUGUUGGAUUAGCUGGUAGACUGGUUAUCAGGGCAGAAGGGAGAGGAGAUGUCAGUAUUGUAAUGAAGGGAGUGAGGAAGACUAUCAAGAAUGUUCUUUUUGUUCCUGGGUUAAAGAGAAAUGUGUUGAGUGUUGCUCAGAUGACAUCAUCAAGAGGGUAUACAGUGAUAAUGGGAGCUGGUGAAUGCAUUAUUAAGGACGAGACUGGGAUUGUUUUUGGGGAGAGAGUCAUAGAGGUAGAGAGAGGCAUUGGUCUGCGUUUGCAGGUGAUUGAAGGUACUGUCACCUCUUAGUUAGAGGCUAGUCACUUCAUAGACUUACUUGUCAGGUGGACAUCUCAGUCUUUUUUGGUUUGCUUCUUUAGAAUCAGUAUUGGUCUUUUAACCUACAGCGGUUUGGUUUUAAUCUCUAGUUGUCGGAACACUAUUUUGUAAUAACUAUGCAUUGCUUUUGUAAACCUUGUUGAAUAUGGUGAAAAACGAUUUCUUGUAGAAAGAUAAUGAUCAAAUAUAUAUGAUUACAUACCAAACUUAAUUGAGAGAGAUAGAGAGAGAGACAUGAAAGGUGGAUAGUUGAAUCAGUAACGGCAGAUCUUGGCGGUAGGCAUAGUGACACAAACUUGAGCGUACUUCUUCUUCGCCGCCUCUGUCCCUCGCUUGGGCUCCUCCUCGUCAGCCAUGGCUGCCUUAGCCAAGGAACAGACCGCCGCAGCUGCAG